AUGGACGCGGCCAUAUCCGCCGCCCACGAAGCGCCGCCCGCUGUCGUCCUCGUCUCCGCCGGCGCCAGCCACUCCGUCGCCCUCCUCGCGGGCAAUGUGCUGUGCACGUGGGGCAGGGGAGAGGACGGGCAGCUCGGCCACGGGGACGCCGAGGACCGGCUCGUGCCGACGGUGAUCAGCGGCUUCGACGCGCCGGGGAUCACGUCCGUCAUCUGCGGGGCGGACCACACCACCGCCUACUCCGAGGACGAGCACCAGGUCUACAGCUGGGGGUGGGGGGAUUUCGGGAGGCUGGGGCAUGGCAACUCCACCGACGUGUUCACGCCCCAGCCGGUCAAGGCGCUGCAGGGGAUAAAGAUCAAGCAGCUAGCCUGUGGGGAUAGCCACUGUCUGGCCGUCACCAUGGCCGGCGAAGUGCUCAGCUGGGGGCGUAACCAAAAUGGCCAGCUUGGUCUUGGAACUACUGAAGAUUCGCUGCUCCCACAAACGAUUCAAGCUUUUGUGGGUAUUUCUGUGAAGAUGAUUGCUGCUGGUGCUGAACAUACUGCUGCAGUAACUGAAGAUGGCGAAAUCUACGGAUGGGGCUGGGGUCGAUACGGAAACUUGGGUCUUGGUGAUCGGAAUGACCGAUUUGUUCCUGAAAAAGUAUCUUCAGUGGAGGGAGAGAAGAUGGUGCUUGUUGCAUGCGGAUGGCGCCAUACCAUUACUGUUUCCUCCUCUGGUAGUUUGUACACUUACGGUUGGAGCAAAUAUGGUCAGCUUGGGCAUGGCGAUUUUGAAGAUCAUCUAGUUCCACAUAAAGUGGAAGCCUUGAAGGAUAGCUCUACAUCCCAGAUUUCAGGUGGAUGGAGGCAUACAAUGGCACUUACAUCAGAUGGAAAGCUUUAUGGAUGGGGAUGGAACAAGUUUGGGCAAGUUGGAGCUGGCGAUAAUGCCGAUCACUGUUCCCCCGCACAGGUUAAUUUUCCCGAGGAACAGAAAGUUGCCCAAGUUGCUUGUGGAUGGAGGCACACUCUUGCUUUCACAGAAAAGAAAAAUGUGUUUGCAUGGGGAAGGGGUACUAGUGGACAACUCGGUCAUGGGGAAAUAGUUGACAGGAACACGCCUGUGAUGAUUGAUGCCCUAAGCCCGGACGGUCCUGGCUGCAAGAAGUUGGAGUCUUCAGCAGCUAUUCCCUUUGCAGCUAAAAUUUGGGUGUCACCCUCUGAAAGAUAUGCUCUUGUUCCUGAUGAGAAGGUUGCCAAACCAGGCGAUGUCAGCGCACGUGGCAAUGGUGCGGAUGCGAGUGUGCCCGAGAACGAUGUAAAGAGGAUGCGCGUGUCAUCCUAG
rnacentral:rRNA from 1 species